rnacentral:rRNA from 1 species
AUUGAACGCUGGCGGCAGGCCUAACACAUGCAAGUCGAGCGGAGCGGCGGACGGGUGAGUAAUGCCUAGGAAUCUGCCUGGUAGUGGGGGACAACGUCCGGAAACGGGCGCUAAUACCGCAUACUAUCAGAUGAGCCUAGUUCGGAUUAUCUAGUUGGUGGGGUAAAGGCAUACCAAGUCGACGAUCCGUAACUGGGCUGAGAGAAUGAUCAGUCACACUGGAACUGAGACACGGUCCAGACGCCUACGGGAGACAGCAGGGAGGAAUAUUGGACAAUGGGCGAAAGCUUUAUCCAGCCAUGCCGCGUGUGUGAAGAAGGUCUUCGGAUUGUAAAGCACUUUAAGUUGGGAGGCGUUACCAACAGAAUAAGCACCGGCGAACUGCGUGCCAGCAGCCGCGGUAAUAC